UCUUGUACGAGGCAGGUUGAGGGAGCCAGUGUUAGCCUUGAGGAUUAAAUACACGAAUAAAGUGAGUAAGGGAUUAGUAAAGCUGGGAAAAGCUUCUGCUUCCCGGUGAAAAGUUGAGGGAGCUACUUACAGCUCUGCUAGUGUUUGCAGCAGGAUUUCCAAGUUGGCUCCAGCAACAGAAACUCUGGAGGGAGCUGUUUGCAAAAGCUGAGGAUGUGCCAAGUUGUGCUGGAACCACACACAAGAAAUCAUCCCAAGGCCUGCAUGCCAGGACAGCUACUGAGGAGCUGCUCUGGAUGUUGUGGAAGAUCUCUAAAUGUCUGAGAUGUAUCGGCAAUUUAGUGACCAAAUGCCACUGAGAAAUCGAGGGAACACAAAGUAAACAGACAAUGAGCCACUGAGACAUGAGCUGAAAGGUCACAGAAUCUGGAAUAACCCUACAUACAGCAGCAGGAGGCCAUGGAGUGCAGUGUGCCUGAUCACUGGUAGAGUCCUUGCUGUACUGGAGAGUCACGUGAUGUCUCUAGGAGCCUGUGAAGGUGCUGACUUCUUUUAUACCAUCUAUUCAUCGCUCAAAGGCACCUUUUUAAUUGGAGAGCUCAUUAUUUCAAAAUGCUGAAUUGGAGCCACAUGACCUGACCUGGAGGGAGCUGUGUUCUCUGGCUCACAGGGGCAGCAGAGCUGCAGGUGCAGGAUGUUAGGAACAGUAGCCUGUAAUCAACAGUGAACGACUGAAGAAAAUGGAAUAUUAUUGCCUUGGUUGGACUAUGGAUUUUCAGAAGUUUUGGAAAUACAUCUGGAUAACCACUGCGCCUCUAGAGAGUGAUACAAAGUAAUACAUGUGAGUGAAAUAAUAAAACAUUCUGGAAACUGGAAAAACAGAGCAGUUAAAAGCCCCACCAGAUCUGAAUCCCUCUGGAAACCAUACUUCAUCUUCUGUCUAGAUCACAAUGACUGCAACUUUUCCUUAUCUACACCUUCAUCUUCAAAAUCUAUCUUAAAAUGAAGAAAGGGGGAUGAAAAUAAACUUUAUGAAAUAAAGUCAAUAUGAGAACAUCUUCCUCAAAGAACUGACAGGAGAACCAAGCUUCGCAGUCUUCUGGUAGGUUAAAGGAGGAAGUUUGUGGCUGUUUCAAGGGAGAAGCAGUAUCUUCAAAGGCUUUGGAGCCUGAGGUCUGCAUCUACAGGAAAAAAUAAAUCCUGACUGAUGAAGUGUGAAAUGACUACAGCAUUACUAUGGACAAUUUGUGAAGCAUUGGUUUCUACAUGACCGCCUACAUUCGUUGUUAGGUCAAUGUGCACAGGAGUUCAGAAAUAGACACAGACACCUGGA